rnacentral:pre_miRNA from 1 species
UUAACUCAAAUUUGCGUGGAGUUGGAACAUCUGCCUACGAUUGCCGCUAGGGGCGCUGUGUCAACUGCAUACAAAGAGUUA